UUUUCCUACGGGAGGCAGCAGUGGGGAAUUUUCGUCAAUGGGCGCAAGCCUGAACGAGCAAUGCCGCGUGAACGAGGAAGGUCUUCGGAUCGUAAAGUUCUGUUGAAGGGGAAAAAGAGCGGAGAGAGGAAAUGAACUCCGAUUGAUAUUACCCUUCGAGGAAGUCACGGCUAACUACGUGCCAGCAGCCGCGGUAAUACGUAGGUGGCGAGCGUUAUCCGGAAUGAUUGGGCGUAAAGGGAACGCAGGCGGUCUUUUAAGUCUGAUGUGAAAGCCUUCGGCUUAACCGGAGUAGUGCAUUGGAA
rnacentral:rRNA from 1 species